rnacentral:rRNA from 1 species
AUUGAACGCUCGCGGGAUGCUUUACACAUGCAAGUCGAACGGCAGCGCGGACUUCGGUCUGGCGGCGAGUGGCGAACGGGUGAGUAAUGUAUCGGAACGUGCCCAGUAGCGGGGGAUAACUACGCGAAAGCGUAGCUAAUACCGCAUACGCCCUACGGGGGAAAGCAGGGGAUCGUAAGACCUUGCCCUAUUGGAGCGGCCGAUAUCGGAUUAGCUAGUUGGUGAGGUAACGGCUCACCAAGGCGACGAUCCGUAGCUGGUUUGAGAGGACGACCAGCCACACUGGGACUGAGACACGGCCCAGACUCCUACGGGAGGCAGCAGUGGGGAAUUUUGGACAAUGGGGGCAACCCUGAUCCAGCCAUCCCGCGUGUGCGAUGAAGGCCUUCGGGUUGUAAAGCACUUUUGGCAGGAAAGAAACGUCGCGGGCUAAUACCCCGUGGAACUGACGGUACCUGCAGAAUAAGCACCGGCUAACUACGUG